CCUACGGGUGGCUGCAGUAGGGAAUUUUGCGCAAUGGGCGCAAGCCUGACGCAGCAACGCCGCGUGAACGAUUAAGCCCUUCGGGGUGUAAAGUUCUGUCAGUAGGGACGAAACUUGACGGUACCUACAGAGGAAGCACCGGCUAACUCCGUGCCAGCAGCCGCGGUAAUACGGAGGGUGCAAGCGUUGUCCGGAAUCAUUGGGCGUAAAGGGUUCGUAGGUGGCAUAUUAAGUCUGGUGUUAAAUGCAGAGGCUCAACUUCUGUUCUGCACUGGAUACUGGUAAGCUUGAAUGCGGUAGAGGUAAAGGGAAGUCCUGGUGUAGCGGUGAAAUGCGUAGAUAUCAGGAGGAACAUCGGUGGCGUAAGCGCUUUACUGGGCCGUAAUUGACACUGAGGAACGAAAGCCGGGGUAGCAAAUGGGAUUAGAUACCCGGGUAGUC
rnacentral:rRNA from 1 species